rnacentral:pre_miRNA from 1 species
UUAAAAUUGAAUGGCGAAUGUCGGUAUGGUCUCUUUUUCAAAAGAGGUUUCGAUCAAGCGAAGUGACUAGACCGAACACUCGUGCUAUAAUUUUAAAA